GUGGGUAUAGCUCAGUUGGUAGAGCACUGGAUUGUGGCUCCAGUUGUCGCGGGUUCGAGCCCCGUUACUCACCCCA
rnacentral:tRNA from 1 species